rnacentral:lncRNA from 1 species
CAAAAUAUAUGUUUGACUAUAACAAGACUAGAUGUAUUCAGUGUGGAUGGCAUGGGUGGAUAGGAGUUCUAUUAUCUUUGAUUCUUGAUGAAAAGGAAGGAAAAUAUCUUUGAGGAUACAUGACAGUGUGUUGCGGCCAAUUCUCUCAUCUUUUGAUCGUCGGAGAUGUGCAUCUGCAAGAAAAGUUCUCACUGACCGAAGAUACCUCCGAUAGAGAUCCUCCAACGCUCAAACCAGAGAGGAGACUAGGCAACAGUGAAAAAAAUCAGAGACUCAGCCAGAGGGAGAGAGCUUACUAAAACUGUUGCCUUACCUCGUUUUAUCGUAGAAUGCGGUAUGGUCCCAUCAUUAAUGGUGCAGACAACUGCAGAGUUGUCAAAUCGUCGGGGACUGUCAAAUCAUCGUGGGUUGUCAAGUCAUUGGAAUUAAUUCAUGUUCUUGGCAGGACAAUGCCCCAUAGCGGUUGUACGACGUUUGGACGGACUGGUCGACUAUAUAUAGGUAUUCGAUUGCCGGAACGUCGGAUGAUGACUCGAAAAUACCGUCGACUGAUCUGGUGCCUUGUGAAAGUCGGACGUCGGCCGCCACCCCCGACAGUGAGUCAAUGAUAUGGAUUCGGACGUUCGGUCGGUUGGAAACAGUAUUGAUCUGUUCGGCCGGUAUACCUUCGGUCGGAUAUCGUCGGCAGUUAUUGUCGGAGUCAUCUGUCCACCCGAUGGAUAGAGUCGGACGUCGGUCGGAUCGUUUCGAGGAUAAGUCGGCAUAUAGGGG